GCUUACGGCCAUAUCAGCCUGGGUAGGCCCGAUCUCGUCUGAUCUCGGAAGCUAAGCAGGGUCGGGCCUGGUUAGUACUUGGAUGGGAAACCGCCUGGGAAUACCAGGUGCUGUAAGCA
rnacentral:rRNA from 1 species